rnacentral:rRNA from 1 species
CUGCUGCCUCCCGUAGGAGUCUGGGCCGUAUCUCAGUCCCAAUGUGGCCGGCCAACCUCUCAGUCCGGCUACUGAUCGUCGCCUUGGUGAGCCGUUACCUCACCAACUAGCUAAUCAGACGCGAGGCCAUCUUUCAGCGAUAAAUCUUUGACAUAAAUGCCAUGCGACACCUAUGUGUUAUGCGGUAUUAGCAGUCGUUUCCAACUGUUGUCCCCCUCUGAAAGGCAGGUUCCUCACGCG